rnacentral:rRNA from 1 species
GAUGAACGCUGGCGGCGUGCCUAAUACAUGCAAGUCGAGCGAACGGACGAGAAGCUUGCUUCUCUGAUGUUAGCGGCGGACGGGUGAGUAACACGUGGAUAACCUACCUAUAAGACUGGGGUAACUUCGGGAAACCGGAGCUAAUACCGGAUAAUAUUUUGAACCGCAUGGUUCAAAAGUGAAAGACGGUCUUGCUGUCACUUAUAGAUGGAUCCGCGCUGCAUUAGCUAGUUGGUAAGGUAACGGCUUACCAAGGCAACGAUGCAUAGCCGACCUGAGAGGGUUAUCGGCCACACUGGAACUGAGACACGGUCCAGACUCCUACGGGAGGCAGCAGUAGGGAAUCUUCCGCAAAGGGCGAAAGCCUGACGGAGCAACGCCGCGUGAGUGAUGAAGGUCUUCGGAUCGUAAAACUCUGUUAUUAGGGAAGAACAUAUGUGUAAGUAACUGUGCACAUCUUGACGGUACCUAAUCAGAAAGCCACGGCUAACUACGUG